AGGGAGCCCAGGCAGUGGACCAUGGGUCCUGUGUGUCACAGACCAAGGGUCUAGUUCUUACACCUCCUUGUCCUCAUGGACUCUGAAACAUGCCGGAGGCAGAGACAAGGCUAUGCUGGGACUUGUGUGUCCCAGACCUCAGGGGACACUCUGGAACGGGAUGCUUACUGAAGUACCUCUUCCUGUCUUUCCAAGAAGGGUUUAGACAGGGAUCAUGCUCUCUGAGGCCAAGACACGCUGGAAGUGAAAAGAUAUGUCACUUGUAGGAACUCUAGCGCCUGUGAACUAUUGUCAUUAUCUCGCCGAUGGCACGGAAGGAAGCUGAAGAACAUGGCCCUGGAGACUGGGGAGAUGGCUUAGCCAUUAAGAGAACUUGCUACUCUUCCAGAGGACCUGAAUUCUGUUUCCAGCACCCACGUGGAGGCUCGCAACUGCCUGUAACUCCAGUUCCAGGCAAUCUGACGCCCUCUUUGGGCCUCUCUGAGCAACUGCAUGCUAGUGUGCAGGGGACUCAGGUGUUGUUUUCAGUUCCUUGACGUCUACCCCACCUCCCAAGGUGCUCUGCACACACUGGAUGAGAUGACACUUGGUUGUGGGAUAUAACUGACUUAAAGCUUGUGUCUGACAACCAUCCACUCCGUCCUGGGAGCCUUCAGUUGUCUGGAUGGCAGAGAACAUGUCAAGAAGAAAACCAGCCGGCAUCUGCAACUCCUCCUGACCUUUGAGGGAAAAGCCCAGCCAAGAUCUCAAUGCUCAGACUGGGUGUGGUAGUACCCACCAGUAAUCCCAGCACUUGGGAGACAGAAGUGGGCAGGUCAUCUGGUUUACACAGUGAGUUCCAGGGCAACCAAAGCUACACAGUGAGACCCUGUCCUCCUGCCCUCACCCCCCACCCGGGAGACCUCAACCCUAGGAAGAGGAAGGGGUACAUGGAAGAGAAGCAGUGAGGAGAUAAAAACUCUGGUUUAGGGUAAAAUAAUGAAGCCAAUAUGGGUGAGAAAGAACGGGCCAUGACUGUUUCCAUAGUGACAUGGGUAGCGCUUGAAGGCUCUGGUCCUGACAGCAUCCUUAUAGCAAAAGAAGGGAAGAGGGAAGAAGUAACCAGGAAGCAUCUUUCAGCCCUAGGAGUGUACUCAUGGGGAUGAUGUUAUCUUCCAGGUCCAUGCCCCGCCCUUGCUUGAGUCCCCUGGAUUGAGCUUAGACCAGAACUGCAAUGAUAGCAUGUUAGGAAAUGACCCAGGAGUUGGGACAAUGCUUCAUGGAACACUGGUGUUGAGAGCCUGCUCCACCUUACCCACCAGUGAGUCACCUAAUUUAGGUUAAGCCCCAAGCUGAAAGCUCUCUUCUGCACCCAGAACAUCUGGAUCCCAGCUUAAGUACAGAAAAGGCUAGAGAGGGUUAGGGGCCCCCUCAAGGAAGUGGUGGGAAGAGGGGAUGGUGACUUGUCUGAGCUGGCUUUCAGGCUCUGCUCAGCACUCAUGUACCCCUGUCCCCAGAGCACAUGUCUCUGAUCCCCUAGUUUAACACUAUCCCUGAGCCUGGCCUCAUUUCUUCCCUCCGGCCUUUCUUGAUCCAACUACCCCAUCCCUCCCCAAGUGUGCCCCUCCUGAUCUGCAACUGACUUCCAGAACUGAAUGUCUUUCAGACCUGGUCCCCACCAGUCUUUAAGUGAACCCCCACUGCCCUCAAACCCACCUGUGACCCUUUCUUCAAGGUACUUUGUCUUAAGAAGUAGGCUGUGAUCUGAAUAAGCUUUUGUUAGCCCAAAUAGACUUCCAUAGCUUCUCCUUCUUAAGAAAGAAUGGGGGGGGGGGUUGCCAGAGAGAUGGCUGAGCAGUUAAGAGCACUCACUGCUCUUCCAGAGGAACUGGGUUCUAUUCAGCACCCACAUAGCAGCUCACAAUCAUCCCUAACUCUGGUUUCAGGGCCUCUGAUGCCUUCUUCUGGCCUCCAAGGAAACCAGGCAUGACUAUGGAGUAUCAACAUACAUAUAGGCAAAAUACUCAUAGAUAUAUUUUAAAAUAACACAUAAGCCGGGUGGUGGUGGCACACGCCUUUAAUUCCAGAACUUGGGAGGCAGAGGCAGGCGGAUCUCUGUGAGUUCGAGGCCAGCCUGGUCUACAAGAACUAGUUCCAGGACAGGCUCCAUAGCCACAGAGAAACCCUGUCUCGAAAAAACAAAAAAACGAAGUAAUACAUAAAUGUCAGGGGGUAAUUUGGUCACUCAGAGGGCUAAGAAAACACUUAAACACAUUCUGAGGUCAUCAAUGUGCCCUCAGCACUUCUCCCUCUGCCUCCUGAGGCCUGCACACCCCAGAAUGGAGUUCUAGAGGACAGAACCUAUGUUUUGCUUUGGUUUUAUGUAUUUUUAUUUUAUAUGUAUGGGUGUUUGCCUGCAUAUAUGUAAGCACACCACAUGCAUACAGUGCCCAUGGAGACCGGAAGAGAGCAUGUGAUCCUCCGAAGCUGGAGGGUCGAGGUAAACUUUGGAGUUUACUUCACAUGGAUUCUGGGGAUUGAUCCCAGGUUAUCAGGCUUGGCAGCCAGUGCCUUUACCUGCUAAGCCAUCUCACUGGCUCAGGAUCCGAGCUUUUGAGUAAGAAUCCAGGAACUUCCUGGCCCACCAGUGUGGAGCUGUCUGCCUUUCACACACACACAUGCAGACAGUCACAUGUUCUGUGCACAUAAUCCUGAAAAAAUGUGCUCAUGUCUAAUCCGUGUAAGUAUGCAUACACUUACACACGUCUUAAAAUCAGAAUGUGAACUCCAUGAAGAAAGAUCAUUUUUCUCCCAUGAUAUAGUCCCAGUUUUGAUAAUAAUACUGGUAUGUAACAGAUGUUCAUAUUUUCAAAUUACACAUAAUAAUACAUUCAUAUAUGUAAUACCUAUGCACACAAAUAUGUC
rnacentral:lncRNA from 1 species